rnacentral:rRNA from 1 species
GGCGGAGGGUGAGAAACGGGGGCACCGGUUGGCAGAGGGGAAACAUCGGGAACCGGAGCUAAUACCGGAUAACACCGAAAACCGCAGGGUUUUCGGUUGAAAGGCGGCUUUUAGCUGUAACGGCAGGAUGGGCUCGCGGCGCAUUACCUAGUUGGUGAGGUAACGGCUCACCAAGGCAACAAUGCGUACCCAACCUGAAAGGGUGACCGGCCACACUGGGACUGAAACACGGCCCAAACUCUU